AGUGAACGCUGUCGGCGUGCUUAACACAUGCACGUCGAACGAAGUGGCGAACGGGUGAGUAAUACGUGGGUAACCUGCCCUCCUUUUUGGGAUAAGCCUUGGCAACGGGGUCUAAUACCGAAUAAAGGGGGAUGGGCUCGAGGCCUAUCAGUUUGUUGGUUGGGUGAUGGCCUGCUAAGGCGGUGACGGGUAGCCGGACUGGGAGGGUGACCGGCCACAUGAGGACUGAAAUACGGCACAGUCACCUACAGGAGGGAGCAUUGGGGGAUAUUGCACAAUGGUCGAAAGCCUGAUGCAUCGACGCGGCGUGGGGGAUGAAGGCUGUGGGGUUGUAAACCUCUUGCACUAUCGAACGGGUAGGUGAAGAAGAAGCGCCGGCUAGCUACGUGCCAGCAGCCGCGGUAAUAC
rnacentral:rRNA from 1 species